CGAACCUUCUAUUAGUAUACCUUUACCGUCUGAGCAAAACCACUGAAUCGUUAAAACUUUCAACAACGGAUCUCUUGGUUCUGGCAUCGAUGAAGAACGCAGCGAACUGCGAUAAGUAAUGCGAAUUGCAGAAUUCAGCGAGCCAUCGAAUCUUU
rnacentral:rRNA from 1 species